rnacentral:rRNA from 1 species
UACAGAGGUCCCGAGCGUUGUUCGGAUUCAUUGGGCGUAAAGGGUGCGUAGGCGGUCUUCUAAGUUUGAUGUGAAAUCCCGGGGCUCAACCUCGGAACUGCCUUUGAUACUGGAGAUCUUGAGUCCGGAAGAGGUAAGUGGAACUGCGAGUGUAGAGGUGAAAUUCGUAGAUAUUCGCAAGAACACCAGUGGCGAAGGCGGCUUACUGGUCCGGAACUGACGCUGAGGUGCGAAAGCGUGGGGAGCAAACAGGG